rnacentral:rRNA from 1 species
CGUACAUCCAGAGAACUUAGCAGAGAUGCUUUGGUGCCUUCGGGAACUCUGAGACAGGUGCUGCAUGGCUGUCGUCAGCUCGUGUUGUGAAAUGUUGGGUUAAGUCCCGNAACGAGCGCAACCCUUAUCCUUUGUUGCCAGCGGUUCGGCCGGGAACUCAAAGGAGACUGCCGGUGAUAAACCGGAGGAAGGUGGGGAUGACGUCAAGUCAUCAUGGCCCUUACGGCCAGGGCUACACACGUGCUACAAUGGCGCAUACAAAGAGAAGCGACCUCGCGAGAGCAAGCGGACCUCAUAAAGUGCGUCGUAGUCCGGAUUGGAGUCUGCAACUCGACUCCAUGAAGUCGGAAUCGCUAGUAAUCGUAGAUCAGAAUGCUACGGUGAAUACGUUCCCGGGCCUUGUACACACCGCCCGUCACACCAUGGGAGUGGGUUGCAAAAGAAGUAGGUAGCUUAACCUUCGGGAGGGCGCUUACCACUUUGUGAUUCAUGACUGGGGUGAAGUCGUAACAAGGUAAGCGUAGCGAG